GGAGCCCAGCUCCCAAAAUCCACUCAGCAGCCACACCAGUGGGGAUUGUCAGACAUCGCACCUCAGGGAGGGAGGGACGUGGUGCUGAGGGGCGCUGAGGGGAACCCUACGGCUCCCGAACCGGGGCGUGACGGGAGAGGGGCGCUGAGGGGAACCGGUGCCCGGGGUCCCACUGCUCAGGGCGAGGGUUUUUUGAGGUGCCCUCCAGCCGAGGAAGGAGGGGGGCGACCGAAACCAAACACAGCUAGCCCCGCGACCCCCGCGGGCUCGCCCUGCGCCACAGCCGGAUCCCGGCGUGUGCCGGGGCCGGGGCCGGUCGGAGCGGCGCUCCCGCUCCCACUUCGCCUUGGCAGGGCACCGCCAUCAGACGGAGUGGGAGGAAGGAACAUUAACUCCAGCAGCUGUUUCUUGACCCCGGCUGUCAGCCUGCCCGAGAACACAUCAUCUGUGACCAGAAAGCACGCAGGCAUACCUGCACCACUGUCCUCAUCUGUGCCGAGAAGCCCUAAGAGAUGGAAAGCUUUGGCUGGCAAAGUGCUGAUCAUUAGUGCAGCUUGUGCUCAGGAAGUGCUCAAAGGACACGUGUACCUUUCACUGAAUGAUUAUGUUCUGGAGAAUAGGAGUGGGAGUUCCUGUAAUAGUUUGUCCAGUGUAUGCUUCUGUCUGUGCCAGCUUUGGGGGGCAGAUGAGACAGCAGUGACAGUGUCUCAGCACAAGCUUCUAGGUCUGAACUACAGAGGAAAGGAUGCUGGUAGUGGCUGUGCAAUCCUCUAUCUGAAAGUCCUGAGGAAACCAGAAUUUUGUCAGUUCAAACUGAUAAAGAAACGAAACUCUGCAGAUGACUGA
rnacentral:lncRNA from 1 species